UUAAGAGCUAAGCAAUAGGCAAACUUUAUAUCUCCCCUACAUAGUCUUGAUAAAAUGCAUAGAUCAUACUAUAUGUUUUGUUUCUUGGUACUAAUAUUUUUUAUGUUGUAGGGAGUACUUUGUGAAGACUCACAUGGAUGGCAAUGAACUUGAAGCAACAGAAUUGCUCAUCACGCGCCAUGGAUGACCGGAGAAGUGUUUCGAGGACUGAAGUGAUGGAAGAUGGUAUCUGGUUAUGUGGAGGCAAGUCACCUGCAAUUGGCUAUUUUUAGUGACUUUAAAUAUAUGUUGCAACCUUUAAAGUUUCUAGCAUUCAACUAAUUGUUGUAAUGUUGAUAUUAUAUUACAACUUAUGCUUUUUCUAUGUUAUCUUUAAAUGUGUGAAAAUUUGAAAUUUGUAUCCGAAUGAACAUAAAAAGAUUAGUAGUUGGUAAUUAGUUUUAUAUUCGUACUUUGAACCUCGCGACAUACAGAAUAUAGAAUGACUUGACGAA